UACGAAGGGGGGCUAGCGUUGCUCGGAAUCACUGGGCGUAAAGGGUGCGUAGGCGGAUCUUUUAAGUCAGGGGUGAAAUCCUGGAGCUCAACUCCAGAACUGCCUUUGAUACUGAGGAUCUCGAGUUCGGGAGAGGUGAGUGGAACUGCGAGUGUAGAGGUGAAAUUCGUAGAUAUUCGCAAGAACACCAGUGGCGAAGGCGGCUCACUGGCCCGAUACUGACGCUGAGGCACGAAAGCGUGGGGAGCAAACAGG
rnacentral:rRNA from 1 species